AGUGAACGCUGGCGGUAGGCCUAACACAUGCAAGUCGAACGGCAGCACAGUAAGAGCUUGCUCUUACGGGUGGCGAGUGGCGGACGGGUGAGGAAUACAUCGGAAUCUACUUUUUCGUGGGGGAUAACGUAGGGAAACUUACGCUAAUACCGCAUACGACCUACGGGUGAAAGCAGGGGAUCUUCGGACCUUGCGCGAUUGAAUGAGCCGAUGUCGGAUUAGCUAGUUGGCGGGGUAAAGGCCCACCAAGGCGACGAUCCGUAGCUGGUCUGAGAGGAUGAUAAGCCACACUGGAAAUGAGACACGGUCCAGACUCCUAAGGGAGGCAGCAGUGGGGAAUAUUGGACAAUGGGCGCAAGCCUGAUCCAGCCAUACCGCGUGGGUGAAGAAGGCCUUCGGGUUGUAAAGCCCUUUUGUUGGGAAAGAAAAGCAGCAGGUUAAUACCCCGCUGUUCUGACGGUACCCAAAGAAUAAGCACCGGCUAACUUCGUG
rnacentral:rRNA from 1 species